UACGUAGGGCGCAAGCGUUGUCCGGAAUCAUUGGGCGUAAAGAGCUCGUAGGCGGUCUGUCGCGUCGGCUGUGAAAAACCCGGGGCUCAACCCCGGGCCUGCAGUCGAUACGGGCAGACUAGAGUGCGGUAGGGGAGACUGGAAUUCCUGGUGUAGCGGUGAAAUGCGCAGAUAUCAGGAGGAACACCGGUGGCGAAGGCGGGUCUCUGGGCCGUAACUGACGCUGAGGAGCGAAAGCGUGGGGAGCGAACAGG
rnacentral:rRNA from 1 species